GGGCUCCCAAGUUAUCCAACCCUCCAAGGCUGGGAUCUGGCAGCGGGGUGAGGAGUCUCUGUGCACAACACAGGAAAGGCUUGCCUGUGGGAAAGCAAGAAGGAAGGAGAGCUGCCUUGAAUUCAUACCAUGACAGUAAUUAGGUCAUCGACAUGGUUCAGUUACUUUAGAGGUUCAAAAAGAGCUCGCUGUGACGUAGCCAAUGUAUUUAAAAGCACUGAAUUAACACUUCCUGCAUGUGAGGAAUUGCUGUUGCAUAGUCAGCCAGGGAGCACAAAGGCAGCAGUAAACAAGAGGCUGUCAUGUGCAAAAGUAACAGAGCAGCCUGGAUUCAGUGCUCUCAGUAUGGACAGUCAAGGUAUUUAUAGCUGCCCUUGGCUCCAGGGGAAUUUAAUAGUUCAGGUUUGCACUAGGGGUUCCCAGUGACCCUUCAGAUUACAUCUGGUGACGUUUAAUAUUCCGAGUGAGUGCUAAUUAUGCUGCUUGCAGCUCUUUGGGCAAGCAGGAAGUGGUUUCCCAUCCUCAGCAUGCCCUAGCACAUAGAGAACAUUCCAUCCUCCCAGAGCCGCCUUCCUAGGUGGCCUUCCCCUGGAUGAAAUAUGUUUUCUUCACAUUUUCUUUGUAAGGUAUCAUGAUAAUGAAUGUAAAGAGGUAGCUUGCAGCUGCCUGGGCUCCACCCCAUCCCCUUGCUGAGAAGAGGGAAGAAAAGGCAUCUUUUGAAAGUCUCAAAUCCCAUGGCAUGGAGUACCAGGACAGCGGCUGCAGCAGGAUCUUGGUGUGAUUUGCCUUUGGCCUUGGCAGUGCCCAGCAGUGCAGACCUGCCACGCUCUUUACUGGGCAGGGCUGGAAAGCAGAAAGGGACUGUCACCUUCUCCCCAUUUCUGCUUGAUUGGUGUGUCCUCUCAGCACUUGACACCGCUCUCUGCUUUGCUCUGUGCUCUCAGAUAACUUUUCUUCCACUGAUGAUGGGAGGAACUUUGUAUUUCGAGGAGUACUGGGCUGGACCUGGCUAUUUCAUAGCUGCUUUAGGUCCUCUGAGGGGAGGGAGGUGCUGUUCAUCAUUCCUCAUGCCAGGGCUUGGAGCAGGCUGUGCUGAGACCUUUCUAAAGCAGCUUUUAGGCAUAGCUGGUGCUUGUUUUCGUGGUUCUCCACACUCAACCUUGUCCUUGUUUUGUAAUGUGCUGUGUCCCGAACAUCUGCAGCCUUCUGGGGCUUUAAGGGCCACUCUGCUGUGGGAGUUGCUGACCUCUUUCUUGCAUUAAUUAAUGUAGCUUUACCUUUGGCAGCAGCAAAGGGAGCUGCCGGAGGUCUUACAUGGCAUUUAAAAUGUCAGCUGCCAGCACUGGAGUUCUGGCAGGGGGAAUGUUGUCACAGGACAAACGCAGGGAAUGUCAGUGUGGACACAGCAUGAGCCAGUCGGGGCAGGGACUUGUGUACAGAGUAUCCUGAUGUUGGUGAAAUGCCCUUUGAAAUCGCGCAGCAAGUUGGCACUUGUGUUGCUUUGGUCAUAAAUACGGAAAUGCUGCUGGCUCCUGUUGUGGUUUGUAUUCAGCCUGGGGUGUGCACUGAUAAAGUAAUCCCGUGGUACUGUGAGUCUCUCUUCUGUGUGAAAGAGUAGGACAAAGCAUAGGUGGUAAGAGUGUUGAGAUAAUGUAGUUUCUGAAAGCAAUAAUUUUUGUCACAUGUAUCUGAAUUUUAAUUCUUUUUAAUGGGCUUUUUCUUUCAAGUGUUUGUAAUUUAUCUGUUGAUUGUACUGAAUUAACAUGGGAUAAAUAAUAAAAAAUGUUUUAACUAAUGUUCUUGCUUGUCAUCCUUGCCUUUGUGACUAGAUGUGUCUGGAGAACAGUUUCUUCAACAUUUGGAUUAGAAGGCUUUGCUGUGGAAUUUGAAAUGUGUAUUUGCUGUUAGUGUGGGAAAUAGAUUUCUUUCAAUAUUGUUACUUCUUUGCAAUAAAUUGUGCUGGCUAUUUUAAGUUAGAUGCAUACCCAUUUACCUCUCACCUGUGAUGUAAGCCAGGCUUCUCAAUUGGGCCUGUUGGAUAUAAGCACAUCUUCCAGAGGUCUCCACAUUAGUAAGAACAAGUUCCAGAUAAUCUGGACUGAAUCCAAAUCCUUUCCUGAGACUUAUGUCUUCAGCAUAGUGUUCUUUUCUCUGCAAUUGUUAAAGGAAGAGGGCUCCUUGGGGUUUUGGGGGUGGAUGGUUACUAAUGUAGUGUGCAUCCAUGGAAUGCAGGGGUGCAUGAAUCAGCAGGGUCUCAAUGCCAGACUCAGAGAUAUAAUCAUAGGCUGGCUACUGUAGUAUUUACCACAGGGCUUUACAUAUGGAAUUAAUCUAUGCCAUUCCUUGUGCUGGAAAUGUGUGCCUUUGCAUAGGUGCUGGCUUGGUAUUCUUUAUGGCAACAAAAGAUUUAUGUUAAGCAGCCCAGACCAAUUUUAAAUUCUUACAGGCACAUAGAGAUGUGCUUUUGAUACCACCAGCAAUGCAAAAUGCUUGCAGGAAACCAAAUCCCGGACUUGCUGAUGGGAAUGCUCUUUACUAGGAUUAGAGUCAUCUGUAAAUAUUUUAUGUUCUAGGUUUGUUUCUACCUCCAAGAAAACUUGCAUACACAGUAAAGCUCAGAUCCUGCUCUGCAUCCCAGAUCUGGCUGUAUGGCAGAUUUGUCCUUUUUAAAUCUAGGAGAGUUUCUCAAAUGGGGAAGAUGCAAGCCUCAGACCAUCAGAGGCUUAUUGUCCCUACUGCACAAAAAGUUAUAAACAAAGAUAAUCAAAGCAGUUUUAUUUGUCUUUUAGGGUUUUUAAUCUCUUCUGACCUCUGAAUUCUAAGAAAAAUAAAAGCAUGAUGAUAACAUACUUUUCUAACUGCAAAUGUUCUGCUAAUACCUUGAUCAUUCUUCACUCUGUUCUUCCUUAUUUUAUGGCUACUCCCUCAACCUCUUCUUUCAGGGUCAGGCUGAAACUGUAGUUUGUCUUUUGUUAAUCUGCUUUUUGUAGCCUCAUGCUAUUUAUUUUCAUGUGUUUGAAUUUACCCAGGAUAGCACUAAUGUAGCACACAUUUCAGGCAUGAAGAGGUUAAUGAAGCUUUAACUGACCAUCUCUUGAUAACAUCCAUGUUCUUGGCAGCCUUGGCAUGGUAGUUCUUGCCACAUACAAGGACUUUUAUCCUUUUUGACUGCCACAUUUCUAUAUAGCCAAAGUAGAUUUAAAAGGAUCUUUAGGGGGGUCCUUUUGUGUGGUCCUUGGCUGUAGCAGCACUUUGUAGUGCCUCUUGAAAACUGAAAGGGCAGCUUUUCAAGAACAGGUAAUGAAAACAAGAAUUUCUAUGUCGAAAUGAAUAAUAAUAUUCAUACAAAAAUGUUUUGAAUAUGCUUUUGUGAUUUAAUUUUUGGAAAUAAGUUUAUGAUGUAAGAAAUUAUUCUCAAAACCUCACUGCUAGUCUGAUUCUGGCCCUUUGUCUGCUUAAACCAUGGCACUACCUCAGGAUGAAAUAUUUAGCUGUUUUUUCUCUUUUUAAUUGAGGAAGGGGGAAAACUGAAAGCACUAAGAAUUAAAGCAGACGUGCAACUUUUUGAAAUCUUUAAUCAAACUGAUUACGGAGAUUUCAAAGUAGUGACUAGUGCUGCUGUAUUUAAAAUCCAUCAUAUGACUGAGAAUGGUGCCACUCGCUUCACUUGGAUUGCUUAAUGCCUUUUUUCUGGGCACUGUUGUGUUGUAAAACAGUAGUUAGGUAAGGUGUUGUUUCAACCAGAGUUAGUUUGGUACAGUGUGAAGAAAUCUGGUUAAAACUGUGAUAGCUGGGGCACAUUCACAGGCAGAACUAAAGAGAGAGAUAUGAAAUACAAACCUAAGGCACUUUCUUUUGCAGUAUUCGCCUCAUCAGUCUUAAAGCCUCGAGGCUUGAGUGUGAGAAGUUUGAUUUUGAAUACAAGGUUAUGUUUGGUCCUGUUGUUCCCUUGCUGAUUUGCUUCAAUACAUUGCAGCAGUCUGUAAUUUAUUGUUUAGGUACAUGAGCUGUUCAGUGUAUCUGAGUGUUGCUGCAGCUUUGAAUCUUGGAAAAAGCUAAGGCUUAUGAUUGGGAAUAUCCACCUACAUUUCAUUAGCAAUUUUGCAUUUUCUUCUAUUUCUAAAAGGGAUGUCACUUUACCUAUUUGCGUUAUUUAUUACUACUUAGCAAACAUCUAAGUCCAUAGUGUCACAGCUGAAGUAGUUGAGCUUAGGGUUUUGUGUCAAGUAUACAAAUCCUGAGAUAAUUAGUGAUGAGUGCUGCUAUAUUGAACCCAGAGAAGAAAAUUUCUGCUUUUCAAAACUGAGAGUUUGACUCAUGCAGUCUCUUCUGCUGUAAACUGAAUAUAUCUGUACAUUAGAAGAAGUUAGAUAUUAGAAGCCUUUUGCGAAAUGUUAAUUGCAGCUUGAUGUUUUUUCUUCUUUGAAUUUAUAACAUACCUUAAUUUCAUUUUAAAAAAUAGAUCUUAAGGUUUUCUUAGAGCACCAUUAGACCUUCCUCUAUCGCUGUGCUAAGAGGUUUGAUGUGAACAAAUUCACAUUUCUUAGGGUUAGCAGGAAGACAAUUUUUAAUUUAAUAGUAUGCUUCAAAAGCAUAUUAGCUAUGUUUCCUUGUGCUCAGUGAUCAUAUAGUCAUAAAGCAUGUGAAAAGAAUAUGGAAAUUUCAAGUGGGAAAAUGUAUGACCCAUGACAUAGAUGCAUAUGAACAUUAGUCUUUACCAUGCAUGAUGCAAUUUGUGACACUUCAAAUUUUGCAAAUUACUGUUUAUACUAGAUUUUUUUCACAAUAAUUUCAAGACUUCUCUCUUUUCGUAAGCUCUUCCAGUUAAACCUGGAAGAAGGAACUAAACUUGCUUAAGUUAUGUACAUUUGAAGGUUAACGUGAUGAUAAAGAACUUCCCAGAAAUGGACAUGGCAAGGUGAAAGACAAAUCCAAAAGGUUUGGAAAAUAAUGAGUGGCAAAGUGAGAAAAAGAGAAAAUGAAAUGUGAUUCCUACAAAUGAAAUCUGUGUGCCUGGGAAAAUGCAUGGAUAGCCAUGAUGCUGAUCAUAGAAGGAAUAAGCAUCUUCCAAAGAACAAGUA
rnacentral:lncRNA from 1 species